CAACUCUCUGCGUUCGUGUGUGUGUUCAUCCUCAUCGGAUUUGUGUCAUUCGUGUGAUAGGAUUCAACAGAAAACUACUACUCCUGUGGCAGCAGGAAGAAAGCGACAGGAGGAGCAAGGAGGUCUCAUCCUGCAGAAACACACAACCUGACAGAGAAGCGACGAAGGCGCAAGAUAGACGACAAGUUGAAGACCCUUCGACAGCUCGUUCCAGGGUGCGAUGACAAGAGCAACCAAGCCUCAAUUCUGGACCAGACCAUCCAGCACAUCAAGUCACUGCAGCAACAAAUCCAGGUCCAACCUAAGGCAAUCUCGUUGGGGUGCGAUGCCAUCAAGCCACCAGCAGUUUACCCAGUCGUGCUGCCACAGGGCACGGCUGUCGCUGCCGCCGGCGAGCUGCUGCCGCCUGCAGCCGCGCUUCCUCCAGCGGUGCUGGCCAUGGCGGCGAGAGGGCAUGUCCGGCCAGGGUUGGCGCCCUUGCACCACCUCCGUCGUUGGUGCCUUUCGGUCCCUUUCUUCCAGUGGUGACUCAAUUUUGAAGACACAGGCAGCAGCUGCUGCGAUCAUAUAUGGACCUCAUGGUGUACCCGGCAGCGGCGCCUGCUGCAAAUGCAUAUGCAUGUAAGGGCAGCAGGUUCCAGAGACAGAACAAAUUUAGUUCCAGGAAACAAGUUAUAUGCAUUAUAUAUAUAUGUAUAAUAUCGAUUAACUAUAUGGAGAAAAAGCUACUAGUACCCAUC